rnacentral:tRNA from 1 species
UGCGCCCAUAGCUCAAUUGGAUAGAGCGUUUGACUACGGAUCAAAAGGUUAGGGGUUCGACUCCUCUUGGGCGCGCCAU